rnacentral:rRNA from 1 species
CCUACGGGAGGCUGCAGUGGGGAAUAUUGCACAAUGGGCGCAAGCCUGAUGCAGCCAUGCCGCGUGUGUGAAGAAGGCCUUCGGGUUGUAAAGCACUUUCAGCGGGGAGGAAGGCGGUGAGGUUAAUAACCUCAUCGAUUGACGUUACCCGCAGAGGAAGCACCGGCUAACUCCGUGCCAGCAGCCGCGGUAAUACGGAGGGUGCAAGCGUUAAUCGGAAUUACUGGGCGUAAAGCGCACGCAGGCGGUCUGUCAAGUCGGAUGUGAAAUCCCCGGGCUCAACCAGGGAACUGCAUUCGAAACUGGCAGGCUAGAGUCUUGUAGAGGGGGGUAGAAUUCCAGGUGUAGCGGUGAAAUGCGUAGAGAUCUGGAGGAAUACCGGUGGCGAAGGCGGCCCCCUGGACAAAGACUGACGCUCAGGUGCGAAAGCGUGGGGAGCAAACAGGAUUAGAUACCCCUGUAGUC